AAACAGUGGCCAAAAGCAAUGGAUAAGCUCCAUGCAGUCGGCAGAACCCAUCAGAUCAGGGGGAUAUGUCAGAUGGUAGUGGGUGGCACAGUAAUCCAGGCGAAGAUAUUAUUUCUUGGCAAGUAAGUCUUCACAAGGAGGUACGUUUUUCAUAUAUUCACAGACACACAACUGAUAUUAGGCAUAAUCUCUCAACACACUAGAUUUUUAUUAUCCUCUCGACUUAACCUUGUGAACAGACAUACUUACUCUCACGCCUGAGCUAUCCCCCGGCGGUCCGGCCGUCAAGCUUGUGGUGUUUGUCGUGUUUACUGUGUAGGAU
rnacentral:lncRNA from 1 species